AUACGUAGGUGGCGAGCGUUAUCCGGAAUUAUUGGGCGUAAAGGGUGCGUAGGCGGCAUAUUAAGUCUGUGGUGAAAGUGCGGGGCUCAACUCCGUAUUGCCUUAGAAACUGGUAUGCUAGAGUGCAGGAGAGGGCAGUGGAAUUCCAUGUGUAGCGGUAAAAUGCGUAGAUAUAUGGAGGAACACCGGUGGCGAAGGCGGCUGCCUGGCCUGUAACUGACGCUGAGGCACGAAAGCGUGGGGAGAAAAUAGGAUUAGAUACCCUAGUAGUCCACGCCGUAAACGUUGAAUACUAAGUGUUGGAGCAAUUCAGUGCUGUAGUUAACGCAAUAAGUAUUCCGCCUGGGGAGUACGUGCGCAAGCAUAAAACUCAAAUGAAUUGACGGGG
rnacentral:rRNA from 1 species